AGCGAACGCUGGCGGCGUGCUUAACACAUGCAAGUCGAACGUGAAAUGUAGCAAUACAGAGUAAAGUGGCGUACGGGUGAGUAACACGUGGGUAAUCUACCAAAGAGCCUGGAAUAACCGACCGAAAGGUUGGCUAAUACUGGAUAGUUCAAAUGAAAUAUAAUGUUUCGCUUGGGAAAGGGAGCGAGCAAUCGCCUUCACUUUCUGAUGGGCUCGCGUCUGAUUAGCUAGUUGGUAGGGUAAUGGCCUACCAAGGCGACGAUCAGUAGCUGGUCUGGGAGGAUGGUCAGCCACACUGGAACUGAAACACGGUCCAGACUCCUACGGGAGGCAGCAGUGGGGAAUCUUGCGCAAUGGACGAAAGGCUGACGCCGCCACGCCGCGUGAGUGAAGAAGGCCUUCGGGUUGUAAAGCUCUGUCGGAAGGGACAAAAACGUUUAAGGUUAAUAGCCUUAGAUCUUGAUGGUACCUUCAAAGGAAGCACCGGCUAACUUCGUGCCAGCAGCCGCAGUAA
rnacentral:rRNA from 1 species